ACCUAGGAAACAGAUGCUAAUACCGGAUAACAACAGAUGAUGCCUAUCAACUGUUUAAAAGAUGGUUCUGCUAUCACUCUUGGAUGGACCUGCGGUGCAUUAGCUAGUUGGUAGGGUAACGGCCUACCAAGGCGAUGAUGCAUAGCCGAGUUGAGAGACUGAUCGGCCACAUUGGGACUGAGACACGGCCCAAACUCCUACGGGAGGCAGCAGCU
rnacentral:rRNA from 1 species